UACGUAGGGUGCGAGCGUUGUCCGGAAUUAUUGGGCGUAAAGGGCUCGUAGGCGGUUUGUCGCGUCAGGAGUGAAAUCUUACAGCUCAACUGUGAGCUUGCUUUUGAUACGGGCAGACUUGAGGCAUGCAGGGGAGAACGGAAUUCCUGGUGUAGCGGUGAAAUGCGCAGAUAUCAGGAGGAACACCGGUGGCGAAGGCGGUUCUCUGGGCAUGUUCUGACGCUGAGGAGCGAAAGUGUGGGGAGCGAACAGG
rnacentral:rRNA from 1 species